CAACGCCGCGUGAAUGAAGAAGGCCUUCGGGUCGUAAAAUUCUGUUGUCAGAGAAGAACGUGCGUGAGAGUAACUGUUCACGUAUUGACGGUAUCUGACCAGAAAGCCACGGCUAACUACGUGCCAGCAGCCGCGGUAAUACGUAGGUGGCGAGCGUUGUCCGGAUUUAUUGGGCGUAAAGGGAACGCAGGCGGUCUUUUAAGUCUGAUGUGAAAGCCUUCGGCUUAACCGAAGUAGUGCAUUGGAAACUGGAAGACUUGAGUGCAGAAGAGGAGAGUGGAACUCCAUGUGUAGCGGUGAAAUGCGUAGAUAUAUGGAAGAACACCAGUGGCGAAAGCGGCUCUCUGGUCUGUAACUGACGCUGAGGUUCGAAAGCGUGGGUAGCAAACAGGAUUAGAUACCCUGGUAGUCCACGCCGUAAACGAUGAGUGCUAAGUGUUGGAGGGUUUCCGCCCUUCAGUGCUGCAGCUAACGCAUUAAGCACUCCGCCUGGGGAGUACGGUCGCAAGACUGAAACU
rnacentral:rRNA from 1 species